CUUGUUCCCUUGGCAUCCCGGUUCCUUUGAGGUCCCCGCUGUGGAUUCCUGGUUCCAGAACAGCGAGGUGGCCUGGCGAGCAGUGCGGGAACACCUUCGAAAAAGCGUUCACUGAUACAAACAACAGGUUAACUGACACCGCCGCACCUUGCUUUUCCAGCCCGUGCAACAGGUAUGGUUGUCCACCAGUGACAUCUGCCUGAAGCUGCCCUCCAAGAAACUCAGCCCCUGGUUUAUAGGUCCCUACAAGAUCCUUCGUUGAAUCACCCCGGUCAUCUACCUGUUACAGCUGCCUCCUCAUCUACACAUUUGUCCCACGCUUCAUGUCUCCCUUCUCAAGCACUACAGUACCUCUCUGCUCCAAGCCACCCGGGGCGACCCGACGCCCCCUCAGGUGGAUGUGGAUGGGGUACUGGAUUCCAAGCACCAGCAUGGGGGUCUGUAUUACCUUGUGGACUGGGAGGGGAAUGGUCCUGAGGAGCACAGCUCGGUGCCGGCUAGUGAUAUCCUCAAUCCGUCCCUCAUUGCCGAUUUCCAUUGGAACCAUCCAGAUAAGCUGGCGCCUUGUCCCAGAGGCCGCUCCCCUUCCAUGCAUUGCAGGGCAGCUGGAGCUACCCGUAGGGAGGGGGGUACUGUCAUGUCCACGCCCGCACCACAGUCGACAGCACCUGACACCAAUCAAGCACCAGACCAGAGCACUCCCCUUUAAAAGACCCCUCUCAGCCCCUUUGUACUUGCGGAAUCUCACUGAGACAACCGUCCCAUCUGCGCCUAUGUCCCACACUUCUUCGCCCCUAGCUCUUAGUCUUCACUCCCCAGAUUCUGACCAUUCGACUCAUCCCCUGACUACAUCCAUGGAUCAUGGCUCCAACUCUGACCUCCAACCGAAUGACUAUUUGCCCAUCCCCAUCAACGAGAAGUCACCUGACCCCUUGGUUUCUGAUGAACGAUCCUGCACUUGGGUCCAGACCUCCCUGCGACCUUGGUUCUGUGUGACAGGUGUAGAGUGCAUCUAUUUCUUCUGGGGUUUUUGUUUAAC
rnacentral:lncRNA from 1 species